GGGCUGCCCAGCCAGUUGGUCUCUGGCUGCCCUCCAGGAAGCAGAUGGGCAGUGACUGUGCCUCCCCCACAGCCCUGCCCAGAAUGGGUCCCACCCCAGUCAGCCUGGUCUGGCUGCCCCAGCAACGGGGAGGGGCCAGAGCUGUUGGCCCGGAAGAACGCAUGUCUGCUGGUCACCAAGGAUCACAGGACCUCGGGACUUAGAGAGGAGACGGCUGCCCGGGAGGGACUUCCCCUCCCUGCUGCCAAGUGGACGCCUGCAGAAAGUCCCUUGGAUUCAAGGCCCCUGUGGACUCUGCUCUGGCUUUCAAUGCACUGACCUCAGACCCUUCUCCAGCCCCAGCCCUGCGGUGCUGUGGGGAGCUGCUGAGUCCCCUUCUGUCUCAGGAUGAGGAGGUUACUCUGGGAAGGAGGGGCUUCACAAGCGCUGUAGACUCCCUGUGGGAAAUGAGGUCAGAGAGGCAGAGGGGAACAGGGCCACCUUGGCCAGCUCCUUGGCCAGGCCACCCCAGGCUAGAGCAAUAAGCAUUGAAGAUGCCUGGAUGCAACCAGCCCUUCUGUCACCGCCAGUAAUUUCCACCCCUGGACUGGCUUUAGACAGGGCCCCGACGCAUGGGCGCUGCUGUCCUUUGGUUUGUCACACCCUCCUAAGGUGGGAGGACUGAGGCCCAGGAGGCAUGGUAGGAGUCAGACCCAGGACAGGCGAAGUGGGCUCCCCACCCGCCUCCACACAGGUCUCUGGGGGCUCCUAGGGCGGGG
rnacentral:lncRNA from 1 species